rnacentral:lncRNA from 1 species
AUGCUGGCAAGGAUCCUGCUCUGUGAGGUACUAGGAGGAGUCCAGCCACAGUCACCGGGUGAAUUGGUCUGGAAACAGGAGUGGAGCUGCCCCUGCCAUCCUGUGCCUGCCCACCUGAUUCGCGCUCCCCUGAGAAACUGCUGCUCUAGGACGAGCACCCUCCUUAAGCACAGUGAGUAUCAGCUAAGAAACCAGAUGAUCUCUCUAGCUUGUAAUGUGGCACUGAAGAAAGAUCGCCUAUGUAUUUAUACGUGUGUGCAGUCAGUGACAGAAAUACACGUGAAAGGAGAACUUGCUUUCAUUUUCUGUCACUGAGGUGAGAAGAAAAAGGAGCUCCCUGGCCCAGCUGGGGUGAGGAGAGGGAUAGCAGCAAUGGGGAAGGCUCUCAGGCUGCAGAGAGAGGGUUACAGAUAUGGGCUGGGUGCAGGAAAAGGACAAGGCGCACUGUACUCUGUGAGGCAACCUACCCAUUUGCUGUGGACAGACAGGAAAAAACAGCUGCUAAAAUGUAUACACAAGCAGCUCGGAGUGAGCACGUGGCAUUGUGGUAAUGCUGGGUGACAAGCACCUCUUGUUUAUUCUUAGUCUUGUUUGACUUAACCAAGGCAGUAGUAUGAGCUAGUAAUAAGCUAAAUAAAAAGAGAAUAAAAGAACUAGAUUUCUAUACUAAUAUUCACUCAUCCUGAAGCAUACAGGCCAAGUAAACAUAUUAACAGUGAGUCAUUGUUUCCUUUUAAUAUAACUACAUAACCCUUGCUGUUGUUACUUCUGUACUUCUCCAUCUUGGUCUUUUAGCUCUGUAAUGAAAAGGGAAAGAAGGGCUGAAUGGAAAGGUCUUGCCAUUCUUGGUGGAGGGCCUAAGGUUUUGUCCGGAUGUCUCUGCAAUGCUAACUGGGUAGAAAUGUAUCAGCUGUAUCAAAUAUAUAUUUAGAAUUACAUUUAUAGUAGAUGAAUAGCUUAGCAUGUUCUGGAAUUCACAGCGUAAAAAAUGUUACAAUGAAGGUUAACAAUCCACUUGCAUUUAUAUUUACUAAUAUGGUAUAAUUUAAAUUGUUUCUUAACCUAGAAGACUGCUUUUAAGGGGACAGAGCACAUGAUUUUUCCUGUGCAUGUGCCCCUGCCAGAGUAACACACACCAGCAGCAUGCCAAAACUUUGCAAAAAGUUCACAGUCAUGGUUCGUGUAAAGGCCUAGCUCUGUUUGAGUGGGACCAGCAGAAAGCAGCAGUGAUGCUUAUGAAUAUACAAGAUAACAAUAACAGGCUUCAGAAAAGUGCAGAUGAGUUGCAUCCUUUCCUCAAACAAUCUUGGGUGCAAGUAAUUGUCCAGGAAGCAGGUAACCUUUGAAUGUGUCAUUGAUCCCACUACUUUAUCCAUUUCUCCUUUGCCUCCUGUGGUUUUGAUCAGCUUAUAAGGCCACAGAACAAUGUCAGUAAAAAUUGUUGCUUUGUGUUAUCUCAACUGCAUUGUGAGCUUGCCACUGAGAGCACGGAAGGCAGAAAAUCCUCUUUAGUUAAAAGUUGCUGGACCCUCUUCUGUUGCUGACAUAGUUAAUUUUGCGACAGAACAAACCUGCCUUUUUCUCAACGUAGCAAUGUUGAGUAGAAGGUGAACUGUGUGGCCCAGCUGACGGAGCGCUGUUGUGGCUGAAUGAGAUGUGGCCACUGGCCCACUGGCUCCAGAGGUUUACCUCCCCAGUGACCUGUUCUAGGUGCUCUGGCACAGCUGCAGGUAAACCCGGGGUGUUCAGCUGUUCAAAGAGCUUCCCAGCAGAUUCUCUUAAUGCUUAUCAGCCAACAAUUAACUUGUGCUCUACAACACAGGUGUUUUUUAACUCUUUCAUUUUGUAAAAUAUCACAAUGAAUAUUCAUAUUUCCAUAUAAAUGUUUGUUUCUUGAAUUCACUGAGAUCUUCAUUCCAACAACG